rnacentral:pre_miRNA from 1 species
CUUCCGCAGGCUGGCGGGUGCCCAGGUGGCGUUGAGCAAGUACGCCUUUGAAAGGCUCAUCCUUAGGCAUGACCAGAAGA